GAUGAACGCUGGCGGCGUGCCUAACACAUGCAAGUCGAGCGAUUCUCUUCGGAGAAGAGCGGCGGACGGGUGAGUAACGCGUGGGUAACCUGCCCUGUACACACGGAUAACAUACCGAAAGGUAUGCUAAUACGAGAUAACAUACUUUUAUCGCAUGGUAGAAGUAUCAAAGCUCCGGCGGUACAGGAUGGACCCGCGUCUGAUUAGCUAGUUGGUAAGGUAACGGCUUACCAAGGCGACGAUCAGUAGCCGACCUGAGAGGGUGAUCGGCCACAUUGGAACUGAGACACGGUCCAAACUCCUACGGGAGGCAGCAGUGGGGAAUAUUGCACAAUGGGCGAAAGCCUGGUGCAGCAACGCCGCGUGAGCGAUGAAGGCCUUCGGGUCGUAAAGCUCUGUCCUCAAGGAAGAUAAUGACGGUACUUGAGGAGGAAGCCCCGGCUAACUACGUGCCAGCCGCCGCCGUAA
rnacentral:rRNA from 1 species